rnacentral:tRNA from 1 species
GCUGCGGUAGCUCAGUGGCAGAGCACACCCUUGGUAAGGGUGAGGUCGAGAGUUCAAUCCUCUCUCGCAGCACCA